UUGAAUCAAUAAAGUUUCCAUUCAUUUUCUUAUCAAACAAACAGAAUCUACAGAGCUCCUUUUCUUUAAUUCUUUCGACAUGUACGUGCGCACGGUCAAGAUAUACUUUUUAAUUGUGCUUCUAUAUGUUAACUACCAAUAAUUGUAUUUGCUCAAAUAAAAACCCAGAUGAAAAGAGAAUUUUAAUCUUAUAUAAAUAAAGCAUUAGACAUGCACAUGAAUAUAAAAAAUGUACAUUGUUACACGUCCUUAUAUUAAGUUAUUAUUUUGUUUUGCUGUCAAUAAUCUAUUUACGUUUCAAUUAUAUAGGACAUAGUAUGGUAAGUGCUGGACUUAGUCUAAGGGUUGUUAGGAGUUGUUGGCCACUUAACACUUUUUCGUGCUGAGAGUUGCUUGGCUUUAGGAAUAACCAUUGUGUUUUCACAAGCGGUUGCUCGGUCUCUCGAAGAAUCAUGAUUUAUUGGGCAAUGAUAUUCGGCCACCACGAGACCAUAACGAAGCCAGAAACGCAUGCUUCCUCUGCCGUUUCGAAGUUUUAAAUUUGAAAAUUAAAAAUAGAUUUUACCAUUGAAAAAUAUUAAAAUUAAAUCUAAAGAAUUUGAAAAUUCCAAAAUUCUUACCCGUCCCUCUCACUCGCUUGCUCUGUCUCUCUCUCAUUCACCUUCCCUCUCACUCACCAGCUCUGUCUCUCUCACUCACCCGAUCUGCCUCUCUCACUCACCCACUUGCGAGCUAUUUCUCUCAGGCUGUCACUCACCCACGAAACUUGUUGUCACGCCACGCCCAUCGCCGACCAGCCCAUCACCGACAUCGCUAUCACGCCGUUCACGUCGCCGACCAGCCUUAGUUGACAGUGUGCUUGACGAUUUUGGACCUUUUUCACCUACCUAGGUAAUUAAAUUUAGUAUGUUGAGGAAAGUUUUGAUUUAUUGUAUUUAUAUUUUAAAAUUAUUAGAAAUAAGUUAUUUGAAAUGUAGAUUUUGUUUGAAUUAUAUAUGAUUAAUACAAUUUAUUUUUCAUGGUAUUACAAAGAAAAGGUUGGGAAGAAAUAUAAAAAGAAAAUUAAGGUAAAAUUAAACUACUUAGUUAAUUAUUCUACAAUUAAUUUAAUUUUAAUUUAUCUUUAUAUGGAUUUGCAGGAUUCAAAUGUACAAACAUCGUUAUCUUCUGAGGUGGAUAUUGUAGUCCCAACGCAGGAGAGCAUUAAGGAUCCAGUAAAUUUUAUGUUCUUUGAUGCAAUACAAUUUAUUAUUUUAAUUUUUAAUGGCCACUAAAUCUGUCAUUAUUGUAUUUUAAAUGGUCACUAAAUAAUGGUCAUUAUUUAGGAACCUGUGUUCACAUACCAAUCACAAGGAUGUGAAAUUUAUCUAUCGUUUCCUUUUGAUUCUUACAUUGUAAGUUAUAAUCCAGUUUUUAUAUUUAUGCC
rnacentral:lncRNA from 1 species